rnacentral:lncRNA from 1 species
AUUUCAGAAUUUAUUGUUCCAAUACAGAGCAAUGCAAUGGGUUUGCAGUUGGAAUAUGGCUUAUUGAAGACUGAAUGUCUUUUCAAACCUUGUAGGAGGCACUGGCCUGCUGCUCUGAAAUUAACUAAGGCCUCCCUGGAGAGGAGCUGUGUCACAUGAGUAUCCUGACACAUCAGUUCCUCCACCUAAAUGUGCCCUGUGACCCCACACUGGAGGAUUCUGAUCAGUGUGCAGGGAGUCCCUGCAACUUCCAGGAAGAAGACUGUGUAUUCCAGUAGCAUUUCAACAAAACAACAGGAGCAGCAGCAGCAGCAGUAACUGCAACAACAACAACAACAACAACAACAACAACAACAACAACAAUGAAUUGAAAAUCAAGCCAAGAACACCACAAGAAGAGCCACAGAGUCAAGAACCUGAGACCAUGAAUGGGGGCUCACAGAGCUUGGGCCACCAACCGGGGAGCACACAAUAGCUAGAAAUAGAUGCUCUAUACAUUUGUAGCAAACAUACAGCUUGCCUUUUAGGUGGGGCCCCUAACAAAUGGAGCAGAGGUUGUCUUCAUCCCUGUUCCCUGCCAUUGGAUGCCCUUCCCCUGACCUAGGCUGCCUGGUUGGGCCUCAGUGGGAGAGGGUGCCUAUUGCUUCUGGGACUAGAUGCCCCAGGGUGGGGUGGUACCCAAGGGGAGCUUCGGAGGAGGGACUUUUAAGGGUGGGCCUGGGAAGACCAGAGGGAAGGUAGCUGUGAUUGGGAUGUAAAGUGAAUAAAUAAAAAAUAAAAAUAAAAAACAGAUGAAAAUCAAAACCAGGAAAACUGUCCACAUUUCCUUGAAAUGCUGUACCCAUCUCCUUUCUGUUAAACUAGUAUGGAAACCUUAACCUCUGGGCAUUCAGUGAGCAAUUCCAAUGCAAGUGUGAAUAUUUGUCUUUUCUCUUGCUAAUCAAUUACCAGUUAAUUUGAAGGUCUGCUUCUGGAGUCAAAUCUUAAUGGAUAGAGUAAAAGUUCAUUCUUCUAAUAACUGAAAAGUCAAAUCUCAAGUGCUAGCUCACAGUUUUAUGAUGAACAUCAGUCUUUAAGCAAUAUCCUCUGACAGACUAAAUGUAUGCAUAGUUUUGUUUGAGAACCAAAAUAAUGUUGAUAAAUUUCAAUUGUUAGGGACAACACAGUAAAUAUUUUAGACUUGGGGGGUUAUAUGGUGUCUCUUGCCAUGCUUAAUUGUGCUCUUGUGGUAUAGGAGCAUCCGUCAGUAUCCAUCAGUAACACUUACAUAAGCAAGUAUGGCUAUAUUUCAAUAAAGUUUUAUUGGUAGAUACUGAAGUUUCAUAAACUUUUCAUUUUUUUUUAAUUACUAAAUAUUUUCCUCAGAACUCCUUAAUUUGUUUGGUAUAUAAAAACUGAUAGCUGGCUAGACUUGGUGUGGGCCAUAGCUUGUUGACUAUUUAUCUAGACCAUUAUGCCCAGCCUUUUUUACUUUAUAGAACACAUGGAGAAUGAUGCUUGAACCACAUGCUGGGGUAAAUGACCAUGGACACUCAUGGUGGAGUUGGAUUUGAUGGAUUGUUAGCUGGUAGACCUUUGACUGUAUUGAGAGCUGAGACCACUGAAAAACAUGUAAUUUAUUCACUAGUUUACAAGCUACUGAUAUGGAAUCCUAGACAGUCUUCCCAUCUUCUAUCUCAGUACAUGACACGAUGCAGACUAUUUGAAGACCCUUUGAAUAUUCUAGAGAUAAGCUGACUAUUGUCUGAGCACUCAUUUCUCAAAAAAAUGCAGGAAACCAUGACUAAAUUAUACAUAGAUAAUUAUACUAGAGUUUAUACUGGUUGAAGAGAAAGCCAUAUUUUGUCAGAAAGUGCUAUCCUGGGUCCUCAAGUCCCAUCAGUGGUAGCCAGCAAAGUUGUUCAACCCUCGGUACCUCUGGUUCAUUCUGUCCUGGACAUCUCUGUAUAUACUGGGGAUUAUAAGAAAUCAUGAUGUUUUAAUUGCUGGGCUAUUUGCAAUGAUUUUUUUUACAGCCUUACUUAAAGAUCAAGAAUGGCUUAAAGACUAAAAAGAGAUAUGGAUAAUUUAAAAUUUGAUAUUCUAGGUUAUAAUGCUCUAUUUCAUAAUCUCACAACUAAGUAUAAGUUAAUAAGUUUAUAGAUACUAUAUCUAAGUCAACUGUAUAGUAUUCUUCUGAAUAGGUCUAUAUGGAACUGUGACUCCUCAGCUUCAUAUGUUGAAAUCUUACUCUUUAGUGCCUAGUGCCUCCAAAUGGCUGGAAUUGAACAUAU